GAUGAAGAACGUAGCGAAAUGCGAUACGUAAUGUGAAUUGCAGAAUUCAGUGAAUCAUCGAAUCUUUGAACGCAUAUUGCGCUCUCUGGUAUUCCGGAGAGCAUGCUUGUUUGAGUAUCAGUAAAAACCUCAACUUCCAUAUCUUUUUUGAAAUGGGAGUUGGACUUGAGUGAUCCCAACGCUUUUCCUCACCGAAAAGUGGCGGGUUACUUGAAAUGCAGGUGCAGCUGGACUUUUCUCUGAGCUAUAAGCAUAUCUAUUUAGUCUGCCUAAAAAACAGAUUAUUACCUUUGCUGCAGCUAACAUAAAGGAGAUUAGUUCUUGUGCUGACUGAUGCAGGAUUCACAAAGACAGCUUCGGCCGACUUUGUAAACUCGAUCUCAAAUCAAGUAAGACUACCCGCUGAACUUAAGCAUAUCAAUAAGCGGAGGA
rnacentral:misc_RNA from 1 species